rnacentral:rRNA from 1 species
CCCUUAGACGUUCUGGGCCGCACGCGCGCUACACUGGCACAGGCAACGAGCUUUCCUUUACCGAAAGGUAUGGGUAAUCUUUUGAAACUGUGUCGUGCUGGGGAUAGAUCCUUGCAAUUUUUGAUCUUAAACGAGGAAUUCCUAGUAAGCGCGAGUCAUCAACUCGCGUUGAUUACGUCCCUGCCCUUUGUACACACCGCCCGUCGCUACUACCGAUUGAAUGGCUUAGUGAGGCCUCAGGAUCCGCGCUUAAUGUGUGGAGAAUUUGGACAAACUACGUCAUUUAGAGGAAGUAAAAGUCGUAACA